CCUACGGUGGGCAGCAGUAGGGAAUAUUGCUCAAUGGGGGAAACCCUGAAGCAGCAACGCCGCGUGGAGGAUGAAGGUUUUCGGAUUGUAAACUCCUUUUGUUAGAGAAGAUAAUGACGGUAUCUAACGAAUAAGCCCCGGCUAACUCCGUGCCAGCGGCCGCGGUAAUACGGAGGGUGAAAGCGUUACUCGGAAUCACUGGGCGUAAAGAGAGCGUAGGCGGGAUAGCAAGUCAGAUGUGAAAUCCUAUGGCUUAACCAUAGAACUGCAUUUGAAACUGUUAUUCUAGAGUAUGGGAGAGGUAGGUGGAAUUCUUGGUGUAGGGGUAAAAUCCGUAGAGAUCAAGAGGAAUACUCAUUGCGAAGGCGACCUGCUAGAACAUAACUGACGCUGAUGCGCGAAAGCGUGGGGAGCAAACAGGAUUAGAUACCCGAGUAGUC
rnacentral:rRNA from 1 species